UGCCUUUGCUUUCAAGAAGUUAGGACUC
rnacentral:piRNA from 1 species